UCUAGCUAUUCUUCUCAUUACACCAUGGCAACCAUAAUUCCCAGAUCUAUUAUAGUCAUGUUCCUUGUUUUCAUAGGUUUAAUUUUAACUCCUGGAAUCCAAGAAGGCGUUGCUGCUCGUUCCAAUGUGUACAGAGAAGUACUUGUGAGGAGACCUAUAUGUCCUGCUUGUGUGUGUUGCCAACCUCCACCACCAGGAUCUUGUUGCAGAUGCUGCUCUUCUCCUAUCAAUUCUCAGUCACACAAUGGUUCGCCUUAAUCGACAUGUUUUCCCGCAGGCAGUAGCGGAUCUAAGAUUUAAGCUUGAUGGGCUUAAACUUAAUCUUCGAUGUUUUAAAAGUAAACUCAUUAGACUUUUGAUAUUAUUAGUUUAUACGUAAGGCGAAAAAAAGUGUUACACAUACACUUCACUGUACGAGCUUUGGAUCAUUGGAUGCAUCAAUACUGAUCCAGGAUAAACAUAAUGUAAUAAAUUUUCGUA